rnacentral:lncRNA from 1 species
ACACUGAUAACAAGCCCUACUGGGUGAUUGGCCUGCUCCAUUCUCUGUCCUGUCUGAACCACCAAGAAAAGGUCAAGCUCGCUGACUUCAAGAAUGAAGCUGCGGGCCUCACAGUUUGAGGAUACAUGUGAAAUUCCUGUCAUGGGAUUUUGUUGUACAGAUUAUUUCAUCACUCAGAUGUAAGGAUGACUUAUCAAGAAACUUUCACACAGCACAGGUAUGCACAACAGAGUUGAAGAGCUUGAAAUGCAGAGAGUACAUCUUGGAUCUGAGAGUACCCUUGAGCUCCGUGUUCAGCAAGAAAGCAGUGAGCGCCAUGGGCUCUGUGGUACUGGCAUCAGGUUACUCACCUGUCUUGGAGCUUAUCAACGAUCUACUUUACAUCUCAUAUUUGAUACCAGAAACUGCUAAAAAUAAAAUCAGAUCAAGUAAAACAGGAAUAAA